rnacentral:misc_RNA from 1 species
CAUCCUUAAGCUUAAAGAUUCUUAUUUCUAACUUAUGCAUCCUUUUAAUAAUCAUUGCAGUGCAACGAUGUCAGGACGGUGCGAGGUAGCCGGAUGUUUGGGACUUAAAGGAACUCGACUUUUUACUUUCCCGGAUGAGCCAAAGAGGAGAGAGCUCUGGCAAUCCUUUUGCAAGAGGGGAGAAGACAUAAAAAGGAUACAAGAUCCUAGGAUUUGCCUAAGACAUUUUUCCGACUCUGCCUUUCAAAAGGUAAAAAGAAAGAGUCGAUUCUCAUGUCUGAAUAAGGAUGCAGUUCCGUCCCUUUUUUUCGGUCGUGAUGAUACUACAGUAGAUGAUGAAUCAGACUCUGAAAGGGAGUCCCGAGAAGAGGAUGAUAAUGUUAACGGUGGAGAAUUAUCCUCUCAAGCCUCUCUUGAUACCACUCUUGGAGAAUCAUCGUCCUUUCUCACCUCUUUAGAAUCCUCAGGAUCGGAAAAAAAUAUUAAUAGUAGUAGUAGCGAUUCGAGUACUAGUUGUUCCAGCUCUGAUGAAACUACAUCUAGGGAACAGCUUCAGAUUGAUAAUAUAAGUAUCAAUAAUUGCACUAGUACCUGUCCGGAUCAAACUGCAUCUAGAGAAGAUCUUCCGAUUAAUAAUACUAGCAUAUAUACUCAUACUAGUACAUGUCUGGAUGAAACUGCAUCAAUGGAAGAUCUCCAGAUUAACCCUACUAGUAUCAAUAUUCAUAACAUUACUUGUACUAGUCCAGAUCAAACUACAUCAAGAGAAGAUCGUCAGAUUAAUAAUACUAGUAUAUAUAAUCAUACCAGUACUUGUCUGGAUGAAACUGCAUCAAUGGAAGAUCUUCAGAUUAACUCUACUAGUAUCAAUACUCAUACAAUUAGUAGUACUUUUUCGGAUCAAACUGCAUCAAAACAAGAUCUUCCUAUUAAUAAUACUAGUAUCUAUACUCAUACUAGUACCACUUUGGAGGAAACUACAUGUGGGGAAGAUGGUACGAUGGAAAACAAUAUAGAAAUGCUUAGUGUCGAAGCAGAAGAAAAAGAAACAGGAGACGACAUAGUAGUAGCGACAGAAACUCAAUGUGAUAAUAAUGUGGAGAAGAAUGAGAUUCAAGUCGUUGUCUCAAAGGACGUUGGAGCAAAUCAAGUUAAUGUAUCUGGAUCGUUCCUUCUCAUGAUGAAACAUCAGGAAAAGGAAAACAUGCGCUUCAUUCAUGAGGUGAACAUGCUUAUAAAAAAUAAAUGGCUUGUGAGAGAGCAAAUCCGUGUGAUUCGGUCUCAACAACGUGCUUAUACCAAGUUCCCUCCUUCUCAAACCCUUUGAUGAAAAUAAUUUACAUGAUUAUUUUAUGAACACUCAAAUGAGAUGAAAAUAAUUUACAUGAUUAUUUUAUGAACACUCAAAUGAUUUUAGAAUAAUAUUAGAUAGUUUGUAAUUUCUUGACGAGAUUAACGGUUUUUGUCCUCCACCGUCAAAAGGGUAAACAAAAAUUUGAAAAUAAACAUAUUAUGGUACUACGUCUUCUGUAUUUUUCUUGUUGUCAACUGUUAAUUAUUUUUAGAGAAUAGUUAUUAUUUAUUAUAUACAUACAUAAAAUUGAUAAUAUUACCAAUGUCUGAGUAUGACACGAUUUCUAAACGGAGGCCUUGUUUGAAAAUAAAUGAAUAUAAAAAUCCAA